rnacentral:misc_RNA from 1 species
AGAAGAAGAAGAAGAAGAAGACGAGCAUUUCUACGAGUCCCUUGAUCGCAUUGCUUCUUCGUCUUGUUCCUGCUCCGUUUCCAACUCCGAUUCCGAUCCCGACCGCAACCCGACCCACUCCAAUUCCAGUUCCAACUCCCCCGGUAAUAUUGUUGACCACCCAUUUCCGCUUCCUAAAUUCCCCUUGGGUGUAUCCAAGUACGAUGUUUGGAUCUCUGAGCCCGCUUCGGUGUCGGAGCGUCGCCAACGCUUGCUCCAUCAGAUGGGCCUUAGCUCCGACCUUUCUCUGUCCCGGGCCAAACCCGAGGGAGAUUUCAACUUUAACCGCUCCGUCUCAUCGGAUCACUUGAGUCGGGAAGGAGCCGGUCCCAGUACUUCUGGAGGCAUCGUCCGGUCGAAAUCAGACGGUGCCGGUUCGAGAACCGAUCGGAACGGUGGUGAUGACAAGUGUAAUGUUGAUUUUAAUUCGUAUUCUUCUUCUUCUCUUUUAUCCGUUUAUUCUCCUCGGAUUCUUUCACAUGAUUUAAUGAAUGUAAAUAACUGUAACUCCAAUUGUGAAAAAAACAACGACAACAAUAAUGUUGUUGUUUUUGGUAGCAAAAAAUCCACCAACGUUUUUUCUUCCAAAGCUACUGCUCUUUCCCCUAAUAGGCCGCCUGCUGGUAAAUAUGAUAGGAAAAUGGAUGCCUAUCGAUCUGAUUCCACGAAUUCAAAUGGUAAUUUGAAUGGAAGUUGCUCAAACACCAGUUUGGGAGAGCUUGUGGAGGAAUUGGAUCGUAAUGGGGUUGGUGGCAUUGAUACUGCAGCAGCAACCCAAGUGUGUACCAUUAAGAAUCUGGAUAAUGGGAAAGAGUUUGUGGUUAAUGAGAUAAGGGAAGAUGGGACGUGGAACAAGUUGAAAGAAGUGGGGACUGGGAGGCAGUUGACGAUGGAAGAGUUUGAAAUCUGUGUGGGGCAUUCACCAAUCGUGCAAGAAUUGAUGAGGAGGCAAAAUGUCGAAGAUGCUACCAGAGAAAAUCUCGAUUCCAACACCAAUGGAGGUGUUGGAGUCGGUGUUUCAAAGUUGAAAAAGAAGGGUAGUUGGCUUAGGGGCAUCAGGAGUGUGACAAGUAGUGUAAAGGGGAAUAAAGAGAGAAGAAGUAGUGAUGAGAGGGAUACUGGGUCUGACAAGGGAGGAAGGAGGUCAAGUUCUGCAACAGAUGACAGCCAGGACGUGUCAUUUCAAGGGCCUGAGAAAGUGAGGGUAAGGCAAUAUGGGAAGUCGUUCAAAGAAUUGAGUUCACUUUACAAGAGUCAGGAGAUACAGGCGCAUAAUGGGUCCAUAUGGAGUAUUAAGUUUAGUUUAGAUGGUAGGCAUCUAGCAAGUGCUGGUGAGGAUCGUGUGAUUCACGUUUGGCGAGUUAUCCAGGGGGAGAGAAAAGGGGAGCUGUUGAAUGAUAAACCAGAGGAUGGGAAUUUUAACUUUUUGUUGACAGCAAAUUGGUCACCUGAACCUUCUUUGUUGUCACCAACAGCAGAUGGUCAUCACGAGAAGAGGAGGAGAGGGAGGACAUCUAUAAGUAGAAAAUCUUUGAGCUUGGACCGCAUUGUUGAGCCAGAGACUGUGUUUGCACUUACAGAUAAACCCAUUUGUUCAUUCCAAGGACAUCUAGAUGAUGUGCUUGACCUUUCAUGGUCCAAUUCUCAGCACCUCCUUUCUUCUUCAAUGGACAAAACAGUGCGUCUCUGGCACUUGUCUAGCAAGACUUGUUUGAAAAUAUUCUCUCACAGUGAUUACGUAACUUGCAUCCAGUUUAAUCCUGUUGAUGAUAGAUACUUCAUUAGUGGGUCCCUAGAUGCAAGGGUUCGCAUAUGGAGCAUUCCUGAUCAUCAAGUUGUCGAUUGGAAUGAUCUGCAUGAGAUGGUCACUGCUGCUUGCUAUACUCCAGAUGGCCAGGGUGCACUUGUUGGCUCAUACAAGGGAAGCUGCCGUUUAUACAGUACAUCUGAGAAUAAGUUGCAAAUGAAAUGUCAAAUUAAUCUGCAGAAUAAGAAGAAAAAAGCUCAUCUCAAAAAAAUCACUGGAUUCCAGUUUGGGUGGGGAAGUUCAUCAAAGGUGCUCAUCACAUCAGCAGAUUCUCGAAUCCGAGUUAUUGAUGGUGUUGAUUUGGUUCACAAGUUCAAAGGUAUGGAGGCAUAUUGUUUCUUUUCUUGUUAUUUCUAGCCACAUGUAAUGAAACCAUACCUGAAGGUUUUAUUUUGAAAACUGAUUUUGUUGAUCAAGUCAAUAAUACCUGAAUAUGAAACUGCCAAAAUUAGCAUUUGUUACCACCUAUAGUGUGAAUGGACUUUAAGCGCCUUCAUUGUCUGUAUUUACCAGACUUCAAAUAGAAGGAAACUAUUAAGCUAUUUGUGUCUACUCUUUAUUUUCAAUGGCAUCCAAGGCAACGUGCUAAAUUAAUUUUUGCCAGAUUGUAGGUGUAUUUUUUCCAUCAUCUCAUUACAUCGGACAGUAUUAUCUCAAUUCACCUCUAUCCCAAUUACGCUCUAGGGAACUUCUGAAACUCUUUUAGAAUGUAUUUUCAAGGCGUAUUCUGGAGCGUACACUGAGGUGAAACUGCCUUGGGGUAAAAUGGUGUCAAAUUGUCUUGAAGUGCAUUUAGUUGAGUGAGGCACCUAUAUUCAUGAACCUUAGGAGGCAAAGCAUAUGCUUGACUACAAUAUCCUAUUUAUCUUAUGGUUGCACUUUCUAGGUUACUGCUUUGACCUUCAGUUGAUUCAGACAACAUACUGUAAUUGAAUUAAAAUGGUACUCACUGCUUUUUAAUUUGAUAGGUGAUUCCAAUUAAAGUGGCCACCCUUGCUUUCAGCCAGCUUUUCCAAAGGCAUUUGUAGUUUAUUGUUAUUUUUUUACAGCACUAUUUUAAUAUUGAGAUAUUAUCGAACAAUGUCUGUCUUGCUUAUAUUCAAUUAUAAUGGUUAAGAUGGUUCUAAUUAAUAUCGUGCUGCACCUUGCAUAAUGAUGGGUAAAACACCUAUAUUUUAUACACUUUCACCAUUAUAGCAAAGUCCUGAAAAAUGUGGCAACUUGUUUAAUUUCAUGUAUUUCUGUUCCCUUUGUGGCUUCUUUUAAGGAGUGUUGCUCGAGUAAUGAAAUCGGAAGAUUGGAUGAGCUGAGCAAAAUCUAUUUUUUAAAAUUCCAGUUAGUAGUUUAUCCUAUCUGACUGCUUAUCCUGUAGGGGGUGAGACUGAUGGGGAGGAGUCAAUUUGUUCAUACCGUUAAAAAAACUCUAGUUUUACCUUAGGACACAAGUUUGUUA